ensembl:lncRNA
AUCACGCCUCGAAUAGUUAAGGCAACUCCCUAGUAUCCCCUAAUACUCUCCGUGCGCACUGCCGUGAGAGUUUCGGGAUGUCCGCAUCGUCGGAGCGUCCAGGCGGGACCGUGCACAUUGCGCGCGGCGGCUCCGCCCCUGCGACUCCGGGAUCCUCGGCCGCCCCGCCCCCGCCUCUCCUCGGGCCCGCGAUUUACUGAGGAAACGGGAUCUCUGCCCUGUGGGACGUCCGAGCCCUCGCAUUCGGCUCAGGCCUUACUGAUGAUGUCGUUUGACCUGUUUCUCUGUCCUCCAUGGUUCUCGGAAAUUCAUAGUCCGCUUUAAAGUCCUGAGGAGAGCCGCGCUCGCUUUUUCGAGCCUGCGCGCUUCGUCGGGAGGGCAGCCCGGUGGAGGCGCCUGGCGAAGCGGGGGCUUCAGCGGAGGUCGUCAGCCCGACCCCCGUUAGAAGGGUUCCCACCAAACCUCCUAAUGCUUUUCGAAUACACUGCGGGUCUCGUUUGUUUGUUUUUAACCCUUGGCUCACGAGCUGUAAGGAUGUAAACCCAAGGCCCUUGGUGUCCAAGUUCCGUGCGCCGAGGAACAAAACUGAGAAUAAGGGCAGGAAAAGACACAGAGAAUGUCAGUGUUCUUUGAGUCUCUGGAUCGUUCUAUCCUCUCCAUGCUUUGGCUCCGAGAGCUAACCAAUUACCUUUCCCACGUAGGCAAAACUGAAGCUGUGUUUCCGGCGCUGCGCCGCUGAGAGGCUCUCCUGGAGCCGCCGCGGGUGGGCCUGGUUGCUGGGUCUCGGGCCCCGCCUCCCGCACUCGCCGCCCCGCUGUGGCCGCGCUUUCUUCGGCAGAGGCCGUCGCGUCUGAAAAAUGGCUCCGCCCACCCUCGUCUCUGUUGGAAUGCCGACUGAUGUGUCUCUUCUGGAUGGUUUCUGAAUGUCGUUUUCUGUCAGGCAGGUGUGCUGCCUCAUCCAUUAGGACAACGUGCCAGAGAAAGGGAACAUUAAAUGAUGUGACAAUUGAAACAGGCAAAGACCACAAGUUAUUUCCUCUUCAGGAAUUUUGCUUUAAUUAAAAAGAAGAAGAAGCUCAACCGAAGUCCCUACAUCUUCUUGAGCUAGGAACAGAUGAGUUGCAUAGAACCACAGCAUCAAUGACCAGCUUUACCUGGUGUGAAAUUGGUGAACUGCAGCUGGGGAACAGAGGUUAUCCACGUGGGCUGUAGGUUGUAAUCACCACGAAGCUUUUUAGAAUACCAGUGCCAGAGCCCUCCCCUGAAGGUUCUCUUUGCUGUGUCUUUACUGUGAGCUCUCAGCCUUCACAGAUCUGCUUCAGGCUUGUCAACCCUCUUGUUUCUUCCCUCUCAUCUCCUUUCUUUUCCAUCUGACACACUGCGCAUCAGGUGAAGCCUGUCUGAGUUCCCCACCAGGCCCCUUCCUUUGCUACUCCCUUCCUUUUAUGGCCAUACCCCUUUCCCUCAUGUAGCACCCAUUUACUCCCCAGGACUCCUCCUAAAUGGCCCACCUAAAGAACUCCAAGGAUUUUUCACAGUUCACCAGUCCUGGGUUUUAUUUCUUCAGGGCUCUGCUAGCUAACCCCACAAACUAAAAUGAAUCAUAAGCCCUGUUUCCCAAACUUGCCUGGUGAUGGAUUCCUAGACCCAAUUUCUUACAGUUUCCACAGGAUUGAUCUGUGCCAAGGGGUUCAAAGGAUGAUCCUGUAUAUCUCCCAGAUGACUUGUGUUUUACAGACU